CCACAAAUCUCUAGAAUUAGUGGUUCAGACAUUUCAUCGAACACCUUUUGGGCGCGGAAAUGUCUGGGCUCAAAUUCAAGUUGAUCAGAAAGCAAUAGGCAUUAAGAACAACUAAUCCAAAAGGGAUCUAUCAAUCAAUACUCAACCACCUAGCAUACUGAGAAUUCUACACUAGUCUAACCCAUCCUCAGAAAUCUAUUCACUACUCAGACAUCAUUGUAGAGAACAAAAACGUUGAACAGGUUGAAAACAUAAUAACAACAGUGUAACAGCAGGAUGAUAGCAAGAUGAACAACAGUAAACAAAAAUCAAGAACAAAUACUGAAUACAAAAUAGAUAAAGAGAUAUCCGGAUUAAAAAAGGUCUAGAACAUAGUGUCUACGGAAUAAAACUAGAUAAAAACUUGUCCUCGAAAAUGUAAAGUACAUG
rnacentral:sRNA from 1 species